AAACUAGCUGAGUUUAAAAGAUUAAUGGAAAGAUAACAGAGACGAUUAGCAUAGCCCUAACUAGGAUGACAUGCAAAUUUGUGAAGUGUUCCACAUUUUU
ensembl:snRNA U6 U6 spliceosomal RNA